rnacentral:rRNA from 1 species
GACGAACGCUGGCGGCGCGCCUAACACAUGCAAGUCGAGCGGGGUCUAUUGGAGUGCUUGCACUCUGGCAGACCUAGCGGCGGACGGGUGAGUAACACGUGAGCAACCUGCCCUACACAGGGGGACAACAGCUGGAAACGGCUGCUAAUACCGCAUAAGCGCACAGUACCGCAUGGUACAGUGUGAAAAACUCCGGUGGUGUAGGAUGGACCCGCGUCCGAUUAGCUAGUUGGUGAGGUAAGAGCUCACCAAGGCGACGGUCGGUAGCCGGCCUGAGAGGGCGGACGGCCACAUUGGGACUGGGACACGGCCCAGACUCCUGCGGGAGGCAGCAGUGGGGGAUAUUGCACAAUGGGGGAAACCCUGAUGCAGCGACGCCGCGUGAGUGAAGAAGUAUUUCGGUAUGUAAAGCUCUAUCAGCAGGGAAGAAAAUGACGGUACCUGACUAAGAAGCCCCGGCUAACUACGUGCCAGCAGCCGCCGUAAAAC